UUCAUUACUGUCUGCUGAUGUGGAAAGUGAAAUUAAGCAAAUGCCAAAGGAGAGGUCUGAAAAGUGGUGUUCAAAGAAACAAAGUACGCCAGGGCGGAAUUUGCAGAAUGAUAAAUUGCUUAUUCAUAACUUUCUUGAACAAGCUAAUCAGAUUAAAUUCUGCUGCUGAUCAGUUUAGUGAUAUUUUCAAGGCUGAUUUAAAUGUCUGCCUUCCCAAAAUAAGACCUCUGAUCCAGUUAUUGAAUUUGGGGAUGAAAUUAGUGUUUUAAGUACCAAGCUUACAGCUUGGAAACAGGGAAUGGAUUCACUGCUUGAGUUACAACAAAGUAAUGCUUCUGAGAUUAAUCUGAAUAAAUCCGAAAACCUCUUCUUUAAACGUUCGGUUAGUAACGAAUCCUUCGUUAGGUUUCAAAAGCUUUGGGGAAGUGACUGAUUUUCUGUAUUAAAAACAUUAAUAUACCGACAUCUUGUAAAUACACAUAAUUAUACAA